GUUAGGAAUAUUCGUCAAUGGGGGAAACCCUGAACGAGCAAUGCCGCGUGAAGGAUGACGGUCCUAUGGAUUGUAAACUUCUGUUGUUAGGGAAGAACGACCUAAGUAGGAAAUGACUUAGGAGUGACGGUACCUUUCAAGAAAGCUCCGGCUAACUACGUGCCAGCAGCCGCGGUAAUACGUAGGGAGCGAGCGUUAUCCGGAUUUAUUGGGUGUAAAGGGUGCGUAGGCGGCUUCUUAAGUCUGUAGUCUAAGCCCGGAGCUUAACUCCGGUUCGCUACAGAAACUGAUUAGCUUGAGUAUGGUAGAGGCAAGUGGAAUUUCUAGUGUAGCGGUUAAAUGCGUAGAUAUUAGAAGGAACACCAGUGGCGAAGGCGACUUGCUGGGCCAUUACUGACGCUGAGGCACGAAAGCGUGGGGAGCAAAUAGGAUUAGAUACCCUAGUAGUCC
rnacentral:rRNA from 1 species